rnacentral:sRNA from 1 species
ACCCGCUGAACUUAAGCAUAUCAAUAAGCGGAGGAAAAGAAACCAACAGGGAUUGCCCCAGUAACGGCGAGUGAAGCGGCAACAGCUCAAAUUUGAAAUCUGGUCCCCCCGCGGGGCCCGAGUUGUAAUUUGAAGAGGAUGCUUCUGGCAAGGUGCCGUCCGAGUUCCCUGGAACGGGACGCCGCAGAGGGUGAGAGCCCCGUACGGUCGGACGCCGAGCCUCUGUGAAGCUCCUUCGACGAGUCGAGUAGUUUGGGAAUGCUGCUCAAAAUGGGAGGUAAACCCCUUCUAAAGCUAAAUACCGGCCAGAGACCGAUAGCGCACAAGUAGAGUGAUCGAAAGAUGAAAAGCACUUUGAAAAGAGAGUUAAAAAGCACGUGAAAUUGUUGAAAGGGAAGCGCUUGCGACCAGACUCGCGCCCGUCGGAUCAGCCGUCGCUCGUCGGCGGCGCACUCCGGCGGGCUCGGGCCAGCAUCAGUUCGCCUCGGGGGGAGAAAGGCGGCGGGAAUGUGGCUCUACGGAGUGUUAUAGCCCGCCGCGUAAUACCCCCGGGCGGACUGAGGACCGCGCGUAUGCAAGGAUGCUGGCGUAAUGGUCGUCAGCGACCCGUCUUGAAACACGGACCAAGGAGUCGUCCUAAUAUGCGAGUGUACGGGUGUCAAACCCCUGCGCGUAAUGAAAGUGAACGGAGGUGAGAGCUUCGGCGCAUCAUCGACCGAUCCUGAUGUUCUCGGAUGGAUUUGAGUAAGAGCAUAUUGGGCCGGACCCGAAAGAAGGUGAACUAUGCCUGUGUAGGGUAAAGCCAGAGGAAAACUCUGGUGGAGGCUCGCAGCGGUUCUGACGUGCAAAUCGAUCGUCAAACAUGGGCAUGGGGGGCGAAAGACUAAUCGAAACCUKGGGCAUGGGGGCGAAAGACUAAUCGAAMCUUCUWGUAGCURGGUUUCCGCCGAAGUUUCCCUCRGGA